GAUCCAUCAACAUACCACUCUGUUUCACAAUGUACCAAACCGGUUCAGAAAUACAUGAAUAACUAAUAAACUGACCGUCCACUUUUCGAUCACACCGUUGAACUCUGAGUCUGCAGUGUCCCCUACAUCUGUACAAAGUUUCAGUCAGAUCAGCAUACAAAUGAACCUCCCACGCUCUCUUGAAUUUGCUGCAACAGAACAGUUGAACCUCCCAGAUUUGAGCUGCUACUUCUGAUGCUUGCGUAGGAAGCAAGGCACACCACAACGAAGUCAUUACUCCAAUGACAGAGACGUCAGUUUC
rnacentral:lncRNA from 1 species